rnacentral:rRNA from 1 species
UCGACGGCAGCACGGACUUCGGUCUGGUGGCGAGUGGCGAACGGGUGAGUAAUGCAUCGGAACGUACCCGGGAGUGGGGGAUAACUAUCCGAAAGGAUAGCUAAUACCGCAUAUUCUGUGCGCAGGAAAGCAGGGGACCUUCGGGCCUUGUGCUCCCGGAGCGGCCGAUGUCAGAUUAGCUAGUUGGUGGGGUAAAGGCCUACCAAGGCGACGAUCUGUAGCGGGUCUGAGAGGAUGAUCCGCCACACUGGAACUGAGACACGGUCCAGACUCCUACGGGAGGCAGCAGUGGGGAAUUUUGGACAAUGGGGGCAACCCUGAUCCAGCCAUGCCGCGUGAGUGAAGAAGGCCUUCGGGUUGUAAAGCUCUUUCGGCCGGGAAGAAAUCGCGUUGGCUAAUACCCAGCGUGGAUGACGGUACCGGAAUAAGAAGCACCGGCUAACUACGUGCCAGCAGCCGCGGUAAUACGUAGGGUGCGAGCGUUAAUCGGAAUUACUGGGCGUAAAGCGUGCGCAGGCGGUUUUUUAAGAUAGGCGUGAAAUCCCCGGGCUCAACCUGGGAACUGCGCUUAUGACCGGAAGACUAGAGUAUGGCAGAGGGGGGUGGAAUUCCACGUGUAGCAGUGAAAUGCGUAGAGAUGUGGAGGAACACCGAUGGCGAAGGCAGCCCCCUGGGCCAAUACUGACGCUCAUGCACGAAAGCGUGGGGAGCAAACAGGAUUAGAUACCCUGGUAGUCCACGCCCUAAACGAUGUCAACUAGUUGUUGGGAGGGUAAAACCUUUUAGUAACGUAGCAACGCGUGAAGUUGAC